rnacentral:rRNA from 1 species
AGAAUCAACGCUGGCGGCGUGCCUAACACAUGCAAGUCGAUCGAGAAAGUGGAGCAAUCCAUGAGUAAAGAGGCGCACGGGUGAGUAACACGUGACUAACCUACCUUCGAGUGGGGAAUAAACCUGGGGAAACCCGGGCUAAUACCGCAUAAUACCUACGGGUCAAAGGAGCAAUUCGCUUGAAGAGGGGGUCGCGGCAGAUUAGUUAGUUGGCGGGGUAAUGGCCCACCAAGACGAUGAUCUGUAUCCGGCCUGAGAGGGCGCGACGGAACGACACCUGGAACUGAAACACGGUCCAGACUCCUACGGGAGGCAGCAGUGGGAAUUUUGCGCAAUGGGGGAAACCCUGACGCAGCAACGCCGCGUGGAGGAUGAAGUCCCUUGGGACGUAAACUCCUUUCGACCGGGACGAUUAUGACGGUACCGGAUGAAGAAGCCCCGGCUAACGUUCGUGCCAGCAGCCGC